rnacentral:rRNA from 1 species
UACGUAGGGUGCGAGCGUUGUCCGGAAUUAUUGGGCGUAAAGAGCUCGUAGGCGGUCUGUCGCGUCGAUCGUGAAAACUUGGGGCUUAACUCUGAGCUUGCGGUCGAUACGGGCAUGACUGGAGUUCGGCAGGGGAGACUGCAAUUCCUGGUGUAGCGGUGAAAUGCGCAGAUAUCAGGAGGAACACCGGUGGCGAAGGCGGGUCUCUGGGCCGAUACUGACGCUGAGGAGCGAAAGCGUGGGGAGCGAACAGG